rnacentral:rRNA from 1 species
AACCGGAGCUAAUACCGAUAAUAUAUUGAACCGCNAUGGUUCAAUAGUGAAAGACGGUUUUGCUGUCACUUAUAGAUGGAUCCGCGCCGCAUUAGCUAGUUGGUAAGGUAACGCUUACCAAGGCAACGAUGCGUAGCCGACCUGAGAGGGUGAUCGGCCACACUGGAACUGAGACACGGUCCAGACUCCUACGGGAGGCAGCAGUU